rnacentral:lncRNA from 10 species
UCACUUGAACCCGGGCGGCAGAAGGUUGCAGUGAGCUGAGAUUGCGCCACUGCACUCCAGCCUGGGUGACAGAGCUAGAUUGUCUAAUAAAAAAAAAAAGUGGGGGGUAGCAGGAAAAACUAGCCCACAGCCAGAGAUGGUACCAUAAGGAGGGUUGGAGCGGGCCUCUCAAAGCAAGCCUAGCAGUGUACCCAAGCUACAUGUAGACGAUGGGCCACCCGAGAUGUUAGCAGCAUCCUGAGGGGGUGUCGGCCUCUGUCUUGGAGGGUGCUGGCUUAAGGGUUGAGCCUCAGACUGCAGGGUGUGUUUGGGAAGCAGCUGCCCACAGCUCUGGUCAUUAAAGAAGAGAGCGAGCUGGUUCUUCUGGCCCCAGCAAUAACAACAAAACAACCUGGAGUAUGGUCCCUGCAGCCCUUCCCAGACACAGAGUUCUCAUUCUCCAAACGUGGACAUCCGGAGGGACACACGGCCUUACGUGGCCACCAGCAGGCCAUGGACGGACAUUGCCCAGCCCACGUUGCUGCCACAGGUGGACACUCAGAGCGAGAGAGAGGGAAGUUGGGGUGCUGGUGGGAAUGGGUGUGGACUGGAAUGUUCUAGAGGUAUGGGGGGCCUGAGACAUCUUGUGAAGUGGGGCGGGGGGCGGGGCUUCUCCAUGAGGCCAAAGGUGAGCAGGCCUCUGGGUGUUUCAGAAGAACUGCCCUGGCAACAUGCAAGUACAGUUCUAGCAGAGACGCCAAAUCAACUGUCAAAACCGAGCCACUGCCACCCCACAAAGCCAGGAAAAGCUUCUAACUGACAAUCUUGGGUAAGUCGGCCCUCAGCCUCUGCAUCUCCCACCACAGACCAAGGCUCCCAGAUCCCCCCAGCCCAUGCACUCCAUGUGGUCCCCUCUGUGUGCCUGGAUACAUCGGGACUCUUGGGUGUCACUGGGGAUUCCUGCCCUGCCACAUGGGGUAAGCUACUGGUAAUUACUCAGCUGUGGGAGCUCCUGGUCAUCAGCCUUCAAACACAGAAACUCAGGUAUUUUUCCCAGCAGACCCUGACCAGCCUCUGUAUUUCUCCAUAACGCUGGUCGGCUGGGCACAGCGAUCUUGGCAACAGAUUUUGCGAAAUAAACUUGGUCAGUGGAUCCCAGU